GCAGAGGAACAGGUGUUUGCUGGAUCUUUGGAUUCAGAGGAAAGUCCGGGCUCCACAGGACACGGUGGUGGGUAACACCCACCGUCCGCGAGGAUCGGGAAAGUGCAACAGAAAGCAAACCGCCGAACGGUGGUGUGAUGGCCUGGCCGUCUCACUGCGUCGUGGUAAGGGUGAAACGGUGCGGUAAGAGCGCACCAGCAGUACGGGUGACCGUCUGGCUGGGUAAACCCCAUCGGGAGCAAGGCCAAGCAGAAGGUCAGGCAGCAUCUGCUGCCUCGGAUCGGUCCGGUUCGCUGACCUUCGGGUAGGCUGCUGGAGGUGUCGAGCAAUCGGCAUCCUAGAGAAAUGAACACCCGCGACAGAACCCGGCUUAUCGUUCCUCUGCCGGC
rnacentral:RNase_P_RNA from 1 species